CGACAAAAAAAUUUGAAUGGGCCAAUAAAUGAACCAAUUGCAUCAAUAAAUUGGUUAAUUCUCAUCCUAUUUGUCUUUUUGUAUUUGAAAUUAUUUAAUUACAAAGCGAAAAAUCCUGGAAACAGAGAAAUGGGGAAGUGAAUAAUUGGAGUAAACGUUUCUCAUUGGUCAAUUGAAGUGUAGCGCGCGACAGUCGAAUAAGCUCUGUGAAAGCGGCUGUCCCUUAAUGCAUGGUACAUUUGCGUUUGCGUUAAAUUCGACAUUUGAUUCAACAUGGCGGUUGACGUGGCAGGUUCGCGUGUGUAAUGCAUGGUGUGUUGAUGUUAUUAUCAAAGUAUAACUCUGACACAUUCAGUGUACCAUUUAUAAUUUGGGGUUGUCCAAUUUGCAGUACAGCGAAUAGUUUGAUUUUGGAUCUUCAAACAGGAGAGUUGCAUAUAUUCAGUCUUCAAGAAAAGUUCGAGGAGAGUUGGUGUGUGGGAUUUGUUGGUUUGACUAAGUACAUGUUUGAACUAGAGUGAUUUCAGUUGUGUAUCUUCAAUAGAGAAAAAUAGUAUCAAUUUGCCCAAAAGGAAACAGAGUGGUACCUGGUACAGGCAGGUGCGCCAAGGAACUGAAAACGUAAUGAUUACUUUUUUACAAGACAAUGCAUGUUGUUCUCCAAGUCAUAAAAUGUUGUAAAUGAGUAACCUAUGCGAAAAAUAUCUAUUUGAUUUUUAUUCCAGUUUUAUUGUGCCACUUUCAAAUAGUGAUAAUGAACGUUAAUGUACAUUUU